ACACAUAUAUUUGCGACACAUAAAUGUGUCGUAGAUUUGCGACACGAAUUGCAACCAUUUGUGACAAAAAACCAAAAACGUUGCAAAUUUAACCAAAUUUCGUCGUAAAAAAAUGACCAUCCAAGAAUGUCGCCAAUUUUGUCGCAAAAGUUUUUACGCCUACCAUGUAAUGGUUUGCGACACAAGUUGCGACACAGGUUGCGACAUAUUAGUUGCGACGAUCUAUUGGCGUCGCAAACUUUGUUGCAAAUGUUGGCACCUAGCAUGCAAUUGGUAUGCGACAUAGAUUGCGACACAUUAUUUGAAACGAUUUUUUGGCGUCGCAAAUUGUGUCGCAAAAUUUGCCACACAUGAAAUGGGUUUGCGACACAGUUGGCGAUACAUCAUUUGCAACGAUCAAUUAUUGUCGCAAAAUGUGUCACAAAUUUUAAUAAUAAAAAAGUAUAUUUCUCCCAUUCAAAAAGGUAGGUUUUGGUUUAUAUAUGGGUAAAUGCAAGAGAAGUCAAGACCUCAUUUUCAACCCUUAACCUUUACUCUUCUUCACUUCCUUCACAAGUUUUUAGAUUUUUCACAAAUUAUGCAUGAUUAUUUGGUAUUAGAGCCUCCAAAACCUUAUUCUUGGUGAUUUAAGUUGGUAUGUCUCUCUCUCUCUCUUUCUCUCCUCCCCUUUCUCUCUUGAAUUUGCUUUUAUCUGUUUUAUUUUAUUUUAUUUUUACUUUGAUUGAGGAAAGGUUUUUAUUUGGGAAUCCAUCCAUUUUCUUAAACCUGAACAGGUAUACACAAAUUUUUGAGGGAAACCGACCACAUGCAGUCAACACUGGAUGGGCCAUGUUAACUCUUAUUGAAGCUGGACAGCCAAUCCAUUCUUCCAUCCAAUCCAUUCUCCAUCAAUCCAUUUCUUCUCUUGAAACCCUAUCUAAGAAGAGCAUCCCAUUUUCCUGGCAAUGAAACCCUAGCUGAGUUGCGACGAUGAGGGCUUCCAUGGCGCUUGGUACGAGGCCACGGUUGCUCGCCUCUUGAACGGAAGCCUCCGCUUGUCGAUCAUAUACACCUCGCUUCUCUCCGACUUCGAAAGCUUCGCGCAGCGGUGGCCUCCGGCGAGGCCCUGAAGGACGCCUGGAAAGGAGCCAACGAAGGGUUUGAAACCUUAGCAUUCGAGUCCCGGAGAAUCGUUGAGCGUCUCGACCGCAGGUUUGCAAUUUCCCGCCGCCUCGACACUGCUGCACAGGCCGCUGCCGCCCGUGCCCGCGAGCUGGACCAGGAGCUAGGUAUUGAGCUUCGAUGGCGCUCAUUUUCUGUGGAUUUCUCGCGCAACUGGCCCAGGGUCGAUCUUCAAAUUUAACUGCCUUUGUCUUGGUUGAAGACUGAAGUAAGGGAAUUGGGAGAGGAGGGUGUACGAGCCAGAAGCUUAUAGCUGAUUGAACCAAUAAAAGUUAGUCUUGAGUUCAAGAAUCCACUUCAGAUUCCAAUUUUCCUUUUUGGAAUCUCUGUUAUAUUCGGGCUUUCUCCUAGAUCUGAGGCUACAGAGUUUGAAGACGCAGAAGUUGAAUGUGAUGCAGAGUUUGCAGUGCCCGUGCCCCCUAUUUCUAGGGACGUAAAUGUUGAUUCGCAAUGCACAUUAUUAGAGGUUGGCUUGGUAUUAGGAGGAGCUGAGAUUAAAAGGGCAAUAUCAGGCAUCAAGCUUACACCAGCUUAAGAGAGAAAGAGAGAGAGACAGGAGUGUCAGAAUAGGCUCACAGGGAGAGAAGAAAAUUUGAAAAGAAGUGUUUGUGUUGAGAGAGUGACAUGAUAUGGUAGACACAUGGACACCUUGCACGUGUGUAUGCUUGCUUAUGCAUGCAUUUGACCUAAUUAAAAUGGUCCAGUGCUGUUUCCUCACAUGGACACCUUGUUGAGGAGAUAGAUUCUGAUAAUUCUCAUUUGCAAUCGCAGAGGUCUACUUUGGGAACUCAACAAUCUAUGCCUUCUAUGCCUCCAGAGGUUAUGAGUAAGUUGGAAUUUUUAGAGAAAGCAUACGAGGAGCAGAAGCAGCAGAACCAGUACAUCAUUUCUUUAUUAGAAUCCUGAGGUAUUCAGGUAAACUUUGAGAAAACUCCUCGUACUUCUCAUGCUCCUGCCAGGACCGGAGAGUCUGCUUCCCAUGCCCCUCACACUUCAUAGGAUGUUGAACAGCCUCAGCCUAUCGAUGAUAUUGCAACAAAAUGAAUAUGGUGUUUUGGAUUAUUACAUUAGAUACUUGGAUUAUUACAUUUUGGACUAUUACAUUUUGUAUUUGUUUGUUGUAUUGGAUGUUUGAACUAUUAUAUUUUGUAAUGCAUUGUUAUUCUAGAUAUUUACCAAUUGGAAUGGU